GGAAUAUGUCUAUUAGAUCCAUUUUUUAAAAUCACACAUUAAUCAAGGUUGUGACUUCUGUUUUAAUAUAUAAGAUUUGAACUUUAAUACAUUUAAAUAUAAUUUUAGAAUAUAUAAGAUUUAGAAGCCUACUUAAUUGAAAAUGAUUAACUUAAAAUAACAUAUGAGUUAAUUAUUUUAAAAGUUAAUUAAAUAAAUGAAUUUUAGUAUUAAAUAAAUAAAGAGGAUGGUGAAUUACUGGAAAACGCAGAGUCCUAUCAUCAUGUUUGCUGUCCACAAACUUUGUCAGUUUGCCUCAUCCACGAGCCCCUCACCUUCAAGCAGCUUACAAGAUAUUGCAUUACUUGAAAGGCACGAUAGGUCAUAGCCUUUUCUAUCCUGCUUCUUCUAAUUUGAAGCUGUUUGCUUUUGUCGAUGCGGAUUGGGAAUCUUAUCCUGACAUUGGAUGCAGUGUGUCUGGCUAUUGUAUGUUUGUUGGCACUGCUUUGAUCUUGUGGAAAUCAAAUAAGCAAGACACGGUAUUGAGUUCUUGGGCAGAAUCUGAAUAUCGAGCGAUGUCUUAAGCAGUCCGAGAAAUUAUAUGAUUUCGAAUUUUGCUUCAGGAUCUCUGGACUGAAACUAAGGACCCUGCUCCUUUGUAUUGCGACAACACUGCUGCCAUACUCAUCGUCAAUAACUAUGUCUUUCAAAAACGGACAAAACACGUCGAACGUAACUGCCACAUUGUGUGUGACCGAGUGAAGUUAGGCAUGAUCAAGACUUUUUCACAUUCGUUCGGAGAAUCAGCUCGCAGAUAUCCUAAUAAGCCUCUAUACCAUGCUCCCUUUCGGCAUCUAUUUAGAGUAUCUCCAAAAAAACUCUCUAUUUUAGAGUUUGCAAAGCUCUAUAUUUAAAGUUUCAAGGUGUUUUUUUCCAAAAGUGAAACUUCAAAUUUAACUUCAAAUUUAUUUGUAAUUUAUAAUACGGUCCUUAUAUUUUUCAUAAUUAAUAUAAAUCAAUAAAAAAUUUAUAAAUAACUAGCACAUAUAUAUAAAUAUUACAAUAAUAUUAAUUAAUAAUAUUAAUUAAUAAAAUAUUAUACUAAAAUAAAAAAUUAUAAAUAGAAAUACAUAAUUACGUAUUAAAAUACAAGCAAAAUGACACAUUAUUCCAUAAAAUUAUUUCAGUAAUGCUCCAUAUUCGGUUAUACAAAAUUUGUUUGGACAAUAUUUUAGAAGUUCCGAAGAAAAUUUACUAGACUAUUAGUGUUGUUGUAAUAUUUAAAUUUGUGUAAUAAUUAUGUCUUCGUGUAUCUUUUUUAAAUGUUUUUUUUAUUAAUUUUCUUUUGUAAUAUUCUUGUUGUCUAAUUCUAGUUUUAAAUAUUAUAAAUCUUAUUUUAAAAAAAUUAUUUGAUUUUAUGUGUCAAAUUUGAAUUUAUUAAAAUAAAUUUGAAAUAUUUAUGAUAUACAAAAGUUUUACAGAAUAAAACGAUAAAUGUGAAAAUACUUAAAAAUCAUAAAUGUGAGGUAUAAUUAAUUAAAGAUGAAACUUCAAAUUUGGAGUUUUGAAUAGUGAAACUCCAAAUAUGAAGCUUUACACCUUAGUUAAAACUCUAAAUUUGAAGUUUUGAAGUUUCUUUUUGGAAAGCAAAAAACUCUGUAUUUGAAGUUAUAGAGUUUUGUUUGGAGAUACUCUUAGCAAAAAGGAACAUUAACAUAUAUGCUCGGGGAUGUAUUGGUUUAUAGAUAUACUAGGAUCGGUCCGCCCUACGGACGGGAAGUUAAUAAUAAAAACUGUUUUAUAUAAAUUUAUAUUAAUUUUAUGAAGCAUUUAAAAAUCAUGGUGGAUUGAAAACUAUAUUAUAAAAAACAAUAAUGAUUUGAAUUCUGAGAUCACAUUGUUAGGACAUCAUUAGUGGUAAAAUAGCAAGUAGAGUACCUCACUAAUAUUUUUAUUAUUAUUUUUGUACAUAAUUUAGUUAUUAAUAAUUUUAAAAAUUAAAAUAAAAAAACUUGUAAAAUGAUACCACAUGUAUUCACCGAUUCUUUAGAAAUGUAUGAAAACUCUUCCCACAGGUACCACUCUUGCUCUCUUUUUUUUAUCGUUUCUCUUUCUUUUUUUUCAGCUUUUAAUAUUUUUAAAUUUGUUAGAGACUGAUGAAUUUCAACCGGUGCGAGUGCCCUUAUUUUUAAUAAACAUUUUUGGUUUGGAAUUAAAAUGACAACAUCCUUCAUUAUUCUAUUUUUUCAGAGAAUACAAAAUUAGCAAAAAAAAAUUCAGAAUAAUAUGAUAAUAUAUAUAUAUCUUCUUAUUAUUCUUAGUUCAAUUUGACAUAAUAAAAGAAAAUAUUAACUUUAAAUAAAUAAUAGGUGAAAUUUCAUGUUUACUACAUUCAUGGUACUAUUAUUGAUCUUUACAAUCACUAAAGGGGCAUUUUUAAAAAUAUAUUUUCAAUAAGUGGCAAAAGACUCUUAUAUCUUUGUUCUUGAUAUAUAUAUAACAAAUAAUUAUUUAAAUAAAAAACAUAUUUUUUUUAUGUUUUCGAAUUAUACUUUUUUAAAAUUCAAACUUUUUUAUAAUUAUUUUUUUUUUGGAAUUUUUUUGGUUUAUUUUAUUUUAUUUUUUAAUUCUACAGAUAUAAGAUAUGUUCGGUUAUUUAUAAAAUUUGAUUCAAUUCUCGUUCAGAUAUUUUGUUUUUUUGGUUCAGUUUGGACAACAAAGUGGGGAACCAGCUAAUAUCAAAAACAAAAUCGGGUCUCUUUCGGUUACGGGCGUUUCAGAUUAUUUUGGUUAAUUUGAGUAAAUUUUAUUGAUAAAUUGUUUUCUGCCAGAAAAAAAGCAGGUGAUUUAAGUUUUUUGGAUAAAUUAUCAGGUAGUUUAUAUAAUUUUAAAUAAUUUAGGGAAAUGGUAUUCAUAUAAUUCAUUUUGGAUAGUUCAGUUUAUAAAUAAUAAGUUUAUAAUAUUUGUUACUGUAAAACUAAGUUUAUUUAAUAUUUUAGAUUUGUAAAUUAUAUUUCAAAUUGAGAUACUUAUUAAUUUUGGUUCGGUUCUCGUUUGUUUUUGAUAUUUUAGUUUCAGAAAAAUAUAGAAUACAUUAUAUAUAGAAAUAUACCUGAUUUAUGAAAUUUGAUUUAAUUUUGAUUUUGUUUUUUAUUUGAUAAGGUUCGAUUCUUCAGUUACAGGUAAACACAUGGCUAAUUUCAUGUGUGCAGAGUUUUGUAGUGCUGGUUAACGGCACAUCAAUUUUAAUGUUUGAUCUCAAACCUCUCGUCAUUCUAUUUAUUUAUAAAUUAAAAUUGGGAUACAAUUAUUGAUCAUAUAUUAACUUAGAAAAAUAAAUUGGCGGAUGAAUCAAAUCUAUUUUCAUUUGCUAGUUGACUAUAGUAAGAAUAAUAUUAUUGUAUAGACCCAAAUCAAAGUUUAGAGUCAUAAAUAAUAGAGCCUACAGAGACGACAAAUAAUUUAAGUGGUAAAGUAGUUUACGAUGACGUGGAUUUUUUUUUGUUAUCUAUCUAUAUAUAAUUGAUUAUAGCUGCUAGUUUAGAGGUGGACUUUGUGGGUUACCGGACUUGAAAAAUUAGAGUUGUAUAAGGCCCAAAAUUUAUAAGUCUGAAGUCCAAAUAAUGUUGUGACGGACACGUGUCGCCUCUGCAGCGAACAACUUUCCACAUGGCAAAGCAAGAGAGAUACCAACAUAUUUAUAUAUAUAGAGAUGUUGUACAUGGUUUAGUUAAUCACAAUUAGAAUAAUCUGGUUUGUUCUGGUUAGCAGAUUAGAUCAAUUGUAUGUAUUGACACAUUUCCCUUUGGGAUAAAGGCUAACAAAAAUAUUCUUGUCAUCUUCUUUCUCUUUAGUACGAAUUUUUUCGCCAUGUUUGCUUGAAGAAGAUCUUCCAAUUUCUGUUCAUCUCUAUUCACUAAAACUAUCGUCAGUAAGAUCUUCUGUAUGUAUUCAAGACUUCUCUUACUCAUUUUUUUAUUGAUGAUUAGUCAAAUUCUGCUUCUUCUUACAGGUUCAGCUGCGAACAGCGGAGAGAGCAGACGUGGGUGGUCCAUUAGCCAUGGAGGGUCGGGGCUUUAUAGGAACUUUUGUAUUGAAACUGAUGCUGAAGUUGUUGAGAAAGGGUGAAUCUUUUAUUGUUGAUAACGUUCUUGAAAUUUAGUUUUCAGAAUAUGAAUCUUGAUUUUGCAUUUAUUCAGUGUAUCGAGGGACAAAAAAUAUAACAAAAUGGUUAAUUGCGAGGAUGAGUAUUCUCAGGAGUACCAGCAACACCUGAUAUAACUUUAGCAACGUCACCUGCUGAAGCUUCUGGCUUCUUUUUACUGUACAAAACCAUGUAGCCAAGUCCACCAAUUAUCACAAAUCCAACCGCUGCUGCUCUCACAGGACAUAUCCCUAACGAUCGUCGCUGGCACAAAACUUCACUUGACUGCUUCGCUGCUUGGUCAGGUCCCGCCAUUUCCCUUUUUAAAUAAAUUAUUUCUCUAUAUAUAUGGCGUCUCUCUUUUCUGAGAAAGAGUUUAUAUAAUGUCUUUCUUUAUAAGUGACUUGUAUCUCUCAAAGAAGUUUCUUCUAAAAACUGUUUGUAAAGUUUGUUUUUGUGUUGUUGAAAAUUUGGAAUUUGUAGAAGAGA